UACGGGGGGGGCAAGCGUUGUUCGGAAUUACUGGGCGUAAAGGGCUCGUAGGCGGCCAACUAAGUCGGAUGUGAAAUCCCCAAGCUUAACUUGGGAACUGCAUCCGAUACUGGAUGGCUUGAAUCCGGGAGAGGGAUGCAGAAUUCCAGGUGUAGCGGUGAAAUGCGUAGAUAUCUGGAGGAAUACCGGUGGCGAAGGCGGCAUCCUGGACCGGCAUUGACGCUGGGGAGCGAAAGCUAGGGGAGCAAACGGG
rnacentral:rRNA from 1 species